rnacentral:tRNA from 1 species
AGGGGAGUAGCUCAGCUGGUAGAGCAUCGGUCUCCAAAACCGAGGGUCGCAGGUUCGAUCCCUGUCUCCCCUGCAA